AACCUCCGCAAUGUGAGAAAUCGCGACGGGGGGAUCCCAAGUGCCAUUCUUAACGGGAUGGCUUUUCUUAAGUGUAAAAAGCUUUUGGAAUAAGAGCUGGGCAAGACCGGUGCCAGCCGCCGCGGUAACACCGGCAGCUCUAGUGGUAGCUGUUUUUAUUGGGCCUAAAGCGUUCGUAGCCGGUUUGAUAAGUCACUGGUGAAAUCCUGUAGCUUAACUGUGGGAAUUGCUGGUGAUACUGUUGAACUUGAGGUCGGGAGAGGUUAGCGGUACUCCCAGGGUAGAGGUGAAAUUCUGUAAUCCUGGGAGGACCACCUGUGGCGAAGGCGGCUAACUGGAACGAACCUGACGGUGAGGGACGAAAGCUAGGGGCGCGAACCGGAUUAGAUACCCGGGUAGUCCUAGCCGUAAACGAUGCGGACUUGGUGUUGGGAUGGCUUUGAGCCGCUCCGGUGCUGAAGGGAAGCUGUUAAGUCCGCCGCCUGGGAAGUACGGUCGCAAGACUGAAACUUAAGGAAUU
rnacentral:rRNA from 1 species